rnacentral:rRNA from 2 species
CUGAAACCGUGUACGUACAAGCAGUGGGAGCACGCUUAGGCGUGUGACUGCGUACCUUUUGUAUAAUGGGUCAGCGACUUAUAUUCUGUAGCAAGGUUAACCGAAUAGGGGAGCCGAAGGGAAACCGAGUCUUAACUGGGCGUUAAGUUGCAGGGUAUAGACCCGAAACCCGGUGAUCUAGCCAUGGGCAGGUUGAAGGUUGGGUAACACUAACUGGAGGACCGAACCGACUAAUGUUGAAAAAUUAGCGGAUGACUUGUGGCUGGGGGUGAAAGGCCAAUCAAACCGGGAGAUAGCUGGUUCUCCCCGAAAGCUAUUUAGGUAGCGCCUCGUGAAUUCAUCUCCGGGGGUAGAGCACUGUUUCGGCAAGGGGGUCAUCCCGACUUACCAACCCGAUGCAAACUGCGAAUACCGGAGAAUGUUAUCACGGGAGACACACGGCGGGUGCUAACGUCCGUCGUGAAGAGGGAAACAACCCAGACCGCCAGCUAAGGUCCCAAAGUCAUGGUUAAGUGGGAAACGAUGUGGGAAGGCCCAGACAGCCAGGAUGUUGGCUUAGAAGCAGCCAUCAUUUAAAGAAAGCGUAAUAGCUCACUGGUCGAGUCGGCCUGCGCGGAAGAUGUAACGGGGCUAAACCAUG